rnacentral:tRNA from 1 species
UUCUUAUAGUGAAGGGGUUAUCACGCAGGUCUUUGAAACCUGAGUCUUGGGUUCGAUUCCCAAUAGGAACA